rnacentral:rRNA from 1 species
CCUACGGGAGGCAGCAGUGGGGAAUAUUGCACAAUGGACGAAAGUCUGAUGCAGCAACGCCGCGUGGAGGAUGACACAUUUCGGUGCGUAAACUCCUUUUAUAUGAGAAGAUAAUGACGGUAUCAUAUGAAUAAGCACCGGCUAACUCCGUGCCAGCAGCCGCGGUAAU